GCGAGUAUGGCCCUCACGGGUCUAAUCCACCAAUAAACACCUUUGUGAACCAGUCAGGGGGACUCGGCCGUGAAAGCCCAGGCGAUUAGCGGAAGGGCCCUCCUUUGCAAACCCGUCUAGAAGUCUUGAAAGUACUUUUGUAUAAUCUAGUA
rnacentral:misc_RNA from 1 species